rnacentral:rRNA from 1 species
CGUCAGGCGUGUAACGGAUCUUUUUUUUGCUCGAGGCGUGGAUCGGUGGUUGUCGGUCGCCGCUUGCAGGGGUGAGGGGGGGUGGGGGUGUGGGUAGCGGCGGCCGCUGCAGGGGACGUGGCCGCGGUACGAGGCGGAGGCUUCGACGUAGGAGUGGGUAGAGGGGAGAAGCGGGCGGUGGGUAGGGCAGGGGAUAGAUGUGGCGGAGGAGAGGCGGCGGCGCGGGCGGCAGAGGGGUCCGGGGGCUAAGCGGCAGCUCCUGAUGGAGCAGCUGUGGACGCCGGAGUGGGCUCGCGUCCGGGAGUUCCGGAGGUGGUUCGAGAGGGUGGAGUUUAGGGGGUGCUUGGGGCUGCGGCACGAGCGGAAGGAGCGGCCGGAGCCGGAUAGGUCGCGGCUGCAGCGGCGUGAGCACCGGGCGCUGGGCUUCAAAGAGACGCGGCCGCAGCUCUCUUGGGACAGAGGGUAGGAGCGGCCCGAGUGGCCGGAGCCGGAUAGCGCGAGACUCUAGCGCGCGCAGCGGAGCGAGCGUGGGGCGUCGAAGGCGAGGUCUAGACAGCAAAGGCCCGACCUCAUGAUGGAGGGGGAGAAAUCGAGGAGGCUCUCGGAAGAGGCCCCCGAGUUCUUUAUGUUCAUGAAGGAGUCAAGACUAGGUCUCUCCCACCAGUUCGGGUUAUAACUCAAUGACGCCCUCACGCCCGAUCCGUGAAGGCUAUAACGCUUCGAGACGGAGCGACACGGUACCGACGAGUCGCGGUUCGGCCUCGCGCAGGUCCACUACGACCGCACGCACCUUGCAGAGCCACACGGGGCAGCUAGCCCCUACAAGUCCGUGCGCAACUUCCGACAACUUAGGGAAUCACUCCUCUUCGAGCGACGGUUUCACCUCAUGAAUUCCUUGUGCAAGUCCACCAGCCUACGACUCCACCCGUAACGAGAAGCAUUCCGGGGUGACUACGACUGGUUUAGGUUAGUCUGUGACGUCUCGUUCAGCCUCAAAGAAUAGAGACUCUACCCCAACCUUGGCCGCAUGGAACGAGUAACGGGCCAUUACGAGACGGAAUCGGACCUCCCGGCUCAGUUCGGUGCCACGAUACAAUAUUUCAAAGAAUUCCGUUUACCUAACGAUCUAGCGGUGACCUGGAUGCCCUGUUAACAGUCCCACAGGCUCUACCAUAAACACCUCUGCAAGUAUACGGGAGUGUUCCUUCGACGUGGCUUGGAACGACUUCUAAUACUACGGCGUACGUCUCCCCUUUACGGCUGAUUAAAGUCUAAAUGUACCUGGUUCUUGUCCGAUACUCUUAACCAUCGACGUAUACCGCGCUUUUUCAAAAGUGAGACGCACCAUUAGACUACCCAUAGACCAGAUGACAAGUUUUAGUACUCUACAGUAAGAAAACUUUAGUUACUCAGUUUCAAGAGGGGACAAUUUUGCGUACUUUCUACAUAACCUCGAUUCUGUCAUGCUCUAGUCCGGUAAGUCGUUCACUUAACUCUCAUAGUCACUCGAUAAGAGACAUGAAAAGUUCAUGUUAUUAGACGAAGUCGACCAAAAGUUGAUGUUUAUAACCCGAUGAAACAACCACUCGGAUAGGACGUCAAAUCCAAACAGUUCGUAGUCGGCGGUUACCUUCGGUGAGACUAAAACUUCAUUGUAUUAGACGAAGUCGACACGGACUGGGUCGUUCACCGCUUAGCCUCGAGAUACCUUAAGAAUGAAUGUAGUUCAUACUUUACUAGACCUAAAACGUUGGGAUUCGAGUCGUUCUCCACGACUUUCCUAUUACAGAAACUAACCGAAUUCUGACGAGUAUAGACAUUGUAUCUAUAAACCACUCCAUACUUCGCAUCCUACUUUAUAUACUUGACGGUUUUAGAUUUGGGACCUGUUAUAUAGAACCGAAGGUAACCCAAACUACAUGUAGCCAUUUACCGAUACACAGACGCAGUUGAGAGGUUUCUUACGUAGUGAACGUACUAACGUGUAGCGGACCGUCUAAAGAGGAGGUAACAGUACUACUAGAUCGUCGUACAAACCUCUCUUUCUUUACUGUCCUAGAAGCUAGACUUCCGUCACUUGAAUUACCGUUAGACACUAGCGUAGAGUCUCCUCUAUAUGUGUAUGUGGACGUAAACCGAUUCCACUGUUCCGACCGCUUAGUAGUGAGACAAGUUUAUAGCCGUACUACUCCUGCUGCCCUUGUAGGAGACGACGUUUUCAAACUGCUUAGUUAGGGCACGGGGUGCAAAGUCAGUGACAGAGGUACUCGUACCGAUGAACGGUUGAAGUCAUCCCCCUAACCGUGACCGUACUGAUGAACUGACAGCCCAUUGUGGGAGGUCCGUGGGUACCUGGUCUGGUCCAUCGUUUCUACACGUUCACGAAGAUGAAGACUCGAUAUAUACUCCCAUCGUUUUACACGCAUGACCCCAUCUGUGGUAGGUUCUCGACGUGAACCAAGACUUUUCUCCUCUGUGACUUCGAAAGUCCAGUUAUAAGUCAGUAUGUGCCAUGUGGGUUAGUUGUUUCUUUCGUGUAUUUGUAAAGUCCAUCUAGCCCUUCUGCCAAUGUGGACAAUGACUCCUGGCUUCCCACUAGUCCGAUGAACGUUGUCGUUUCUUUUAAUGUCAGAACAACGAAGUUUAGAUGUGAGACCGAGAACAGUUUCAUUGAACAGCAGGGUUUGUAACCGCCCACAAGUGAAAAGAGUUGCGUAAGGCAUCGACUUCUCAUCGUUAACGCCCGUGAACACAGCCUGUAACAACUAGGCCCCUCGCCUCAACUGCAAGACAAGUUCUUUAACUAGGUCUUGUCUCAAAAAGACGACUUAUGAGUAUCGAAUAUCUAUUUCCAUGUAUGAGUCUAGGUUAUGGGACACCAACCGUAGGCCGCAAACGUCCUAGAUACAUAUUUUACCUUUUUAAUGAGUUGAGACUACGACAAGUCAAGCAACCAAAUGUAUGUAUCAAGUCUGUGUGAUCGGGCGAUUGGGCUUCCGUACUCCAACAAUACGAAAAAAAAUUGAUACUCCAACAAUACGUUAAGUGUACUUUACACGGAGUUUGUGUUCGAGGAACAUUAUUAUAUGACCCCAUAACGAGGG